GGAGGAGGAAACAGGUGUCAGGUGGAGGAGAACAAGGUCAGAUCGGAUCUACUCUGACAACCUGGACAACACUGCAAGUUGACAUUCAAUGAUUGGAUGGAUUUAUUUAACAAGACUUCCCAAUUUUCUACUCUGUCAACCGCUUAAGGAUGAAGUACAUAAUGUAACCAGGAAAUAUAGUUUCAACUUUCCAAGAAAACCACGAAAAGAGCGAGAAUACCUCCAAAAUACUUUUAAGAAUUGCCUAGUUUCUUUUAAAAGAUGCUGCCAACAUUUCUUGAAGAUGAGGUAUCUUUGAUCUUUUAAUCAACCUGUAUUUCAUGUUAAAGAAAAUGGACAACAAAGAAUGAAAAGACAUUUGGGAAAAUCCUCCAAACGGAGGGCAAGCCAAAGAGCACAAAGCAGAAAAGAAAGCUCUUCCACAGAAAAUGAUUCAUAUCCUUAAAAAGUAGAUGUCACAACAAUGACUCAAGAACAAUUUGAGAUGAAAAUAAUCAUUUUGAGAAUAAAGAGGAAAUCUUGGCAAAUUAAAAAUGUUUUAGCCAAAAUUAAAUUUUAGCAACUGGCUUAAGUGCUAAACAAAUAACCCCUAAAAUACACUGUAUGAUUAUAUCAAGUUCAAGAUCAGACAAAACUAAUCUUUGGGGAUAGAAAUGAUGGGACUGGGUGGCUACAGAGAAUGAGUGGGUGCUUUCCAGACCAGGUGAGGGAAAUGUUCUACAUGUAAAACACAGGCAGUAACACUGGCAUUUGCAUUCGGCAGACUUACCCAGCUGUAUCCUUAACACCACUGCAUUGGAUUUUGCCUUAUGAAAAUAAUGCAACGAAAUCAAGCAAAAAUGAACUGCUUAAAAUUAAAUUAUAUAUGAAAUUGAAGAGGCUCAGUAUUCAACUAGUAAGAUUUCUAGAGAAAACAAAUACAAUGAAAUGAAAAUUAUGAAGUAAAUAAGUGACUCUUUGAGAAGCAAGUAAGUGUUCCUAGAGUGAAAUGAUCCUACUGAGAAUCCAAAUUAAUGAAUGAGAGAAGUCCAGCAUUCACUGUAUCCUGACAUUCCAGUAUUUCUGGCAUAAAGGUUUUAAAACUCUCAUAUGGAAGGAAUAGAUCACAUACACAUACAGAGAAUAAAUAACUUGAAAGUCUUUCUCUAUUUCAAAAAAACAAGGCUGAAGAGAAGAAACAGAAAGAAGGUUUUUGCGACUCUGGAUGAAUAGACUUUUCAGUAAGAAUAGGAUAUAUGAAUGCUCAGUUGUGGGAGGUAAAUCACAGACAUUUGGGUCUAAAAGUUGUCUAAGUACUUUCUUCCAUGCUUCAUUCUCAGCAACCUACCAGAUGAUAUGCUCUUUCUAAAUAAGGAAAUAAUUCAGGACAGAAGAGAAAAUGGGGACAUCAUUGACAUACUGAACCGGGACAGGUAAAUCCCUGAGGAUAGCUGUGUCAGGAAGCUUGGAGAGUGCACUGUUCAAUAUGGGAUCAGAAGCCUGAGGGUUCUGCAGGAAUGUGUGCUUUCUUAAAAGCGUAUGAUGCUCUUACCUGAAAUAUAUGAGAGUCUGGGAUAAAAUGCUUUGAGAGGUUCAUAGGAGACUAAGAAAAAAGUACUGUACUUACUAACUUCAGGGGAAAAGUAAAAACAAGGAGUUGAAGAAACCUCUGAAGUAGAAAGAAUAUUUAGAACAUUUCUUCUCUAUCUGUAAACAAUAUUUAAGCAGCUAUGUUAGUAACAGCACUAAAUAUAGUUUUAAACAAAAUUGUUUUAAAAUGCUAUUGAGAAGUUCAGGGGCAGGCAGCAUGUAGUGGACCAAUGGUCAGUGUGUAACCCCCAGCUGAACUGAAUCAGCGUGGUGUGGGCAUGGAGGACC